UUCUUCCCCUUUCCUGCCCAAUGACCCCCUACCUGUUUUCUCCUGAAGGCAUUGCUUCCUUGCGGAGAUUGCUGGCACAUGACGCCUCGCCUCAUGAAAACUGACCAGCUGCAGAGUGUUGUGUUUCAUCCACACCAAACUUUCGAGGGCUUUGGGAGAGAUUAAGAAUGAGAUAUUUAAAGGAGAGGACCUCACCUGGCCAACCAGACAACCAGAGUCAGCUGGUAAGCAGCGGGUGUCAGAUAUCAAAGAUGUCAUUGGAUUAAAAUGAAAGACUUGAAAGCAGUGAAGAGAAAUGCGAUGUGAGGAAGAAAAAUGGGGAUCUUUGGAUGAUAGGUAUUGAUUAUCUGCAUAGAUGCUUCAGGUCUGCUUAGAUUUUCUUGAAACUGUUUUCCCAAUCGUCCCAAGUUAGCUUUCUCACACAUUACUUAACAAUCGUG
rnacentral:lncRNA from 1 species